UACGGAGGGGGCUAGCGUUGUUCGGAAUUACUGGGCGUAAAGGGCGCGUAGGCGGCCUCCGCAAGUCGACUGUGAAAUCUCCGGGCUUAACCCGGAAAGGUCAGCCGAAACUGCGGGGCUAGAGUGCAGAAGGGGCAACUGGAAUUCUCGGUGUAGCGGUGAAAUGCGUAGAUAUCGAGAGGAACACCUGCGGCGAAGGCGGGUUGCUGGGCUGACACUGACGCUGAAGCGCGAAAGCUAGGGGAGCGAACGGG
rnacentral:rRNA from 1 species